GGGUGAGUAACACGUGAGCAACCUGCCCUUCAGAGGGGAAUAACGUUUGGAAACGAACGCUAAUACCGCAUAACAUUGGGAUAUGGCAUCAUGACCCAAUCAAAGAUUUAUCGCUGAAAGAUGGGCUCGCGCCCGAUUAGGUAGUUGGUGAGAUAAUAGCCCACCAAGCCGACGAUCGGUAGCCGGACUGAGAGGUUGAACGGCCACAUUGGGACUGAGACACGGCCCAGACUCCUACGGGAGGCAGCAGUGGGGGAUAUUGCACAAUGGGGGGAACCCUGAUGCAGCGACGCCGCGUGAGGGAAGACGGUUUUCGGAUUGUAAACCUCUGUCUUUAGGGACGAAACAAAUGACGGUACCUAAAGGGGAAGCCACGGCUAACUACGUGCCAGCAGCCGCGGUAAUACGUAGGUGGCAAGCGUUGUCCGGAAUUACUGGGUGUAAAGGGAGCGUAGGCGGGAAUGCAAGUUGAAUGUUUAAACUAUGGGCUCAACCCAUAGUCGCGUUCAAAACUGCAUUUCUUGAGUGGAGUAGAGGCAGGCGGAAUUCCUAGUGUAGCGGUGAAAUGCGUAGAUAUUAGGAGGAACACCAGUGGCGAAGGCGGCCUGCUGGGCUCUAACUGACGCUGAGGCUCGAAAGCGUGGGUAGCAAACAGGAUUAGAUACCCUGGUAGUCCACGCCGUAAACGAUGAUUACUAGGUGUGGGGG
rnacentral:rRNA from 1 species